rnacentral:sRNA from 1 species
AAAACCCUGCAGUGUUCGGUGAGAUCAAAUAAUUACCUUUCGCUAAUGAUUCGUUAAGCGGGAAUUCGGAUCGUGCAACCGAUGUUGUACCCUCUCGAAGGGUUAACUGAAGUUGCAGUAUGAGUACCCACUAUUAAAAAUGACGAGAAAAGGUAAUAAUCUAUCGGCACAAGGCAGGGUUUUU